rnacentral:rRNA from 1 species
UACGGGGGGGUAAGCGUUGUUCGGAAUUACUGGGCGUAAAGGCUCGUAGGCGGCCAACUAAGUCAUACGUGAAAUCCCUCAGCUUAACUGGGGAACUGCGUGUGAUACUGGAUGCUUGGAUUGGGAGAGGAUGCGGAAUUCCAGGUGUAGCGGUGAAAUGCGUAGAUAUCUGGAGGAACACCGGGUGGCGAAGGCGGCAUCCUGG